rnacentral:rRNA from 1 species
AUUGAACGCUGGCGGCAUGCCUUACACAUGCAAGUCGAACGGUAACGCGGGGCAACCUGGCGACGAGUGGCGAACGGGUGAGUAAUAUAUCGGAACGUGCCCAGUAGUGGGGGAUAGCCCGGCGAAAGCCGGAUUAAUACCGCAUACGACCUACGGGUGAAAGGCGGGGGAUCGCAAGACCUCGCGCUAUUGGAGCGGCCGAUAUCAGAUUUAGGUAGUUGGUGGGGGUAAAGGCCUACCAAGCCUACGAUCUGUAGCUGGUCUGAGAGGACGACCAGCCACACUGGGACUGAGACACGGCCCAGACUCCUACGGGAGGCAGCAGU